GAUUAAUGUUUUUUGCAGCUAUCAUAUCAAAUUGUUGAUGCACUAAUUUGGCUUGGAAUAUGGGACAUUAUAAAUGAGUUUAGGAAGAAAAAAUUGAAGCUGAGACCUGUGACAUAUUUAAGUGGUUCUUAUAGUUCCCCAGAUGUACCUUAUGGAUAUCUUUGGAGUCCUCAUCUUGUUCCCAAACCGAAAGUGAUUGGAUCUGCAUCUGAUUUGCCUAAAAUUUUACCUUCUAAAUACCUUGUGGGUCUUUCCCUGUGUUUCUGCAACAUGUGGUCUCUUUUACCAUCCACAUUGUGUUGCAAAACUGCUCCACCGUAAGAGUGCAGCUGAGGCAGAAGAGCUUCGGAAGAAGAUAGCUGCUGGGGAAUUUUUCACAUGUCCCAUUCAUAAAUGCGUUAUCUGCAAACUGGGUGAAAAUAAGUUGGAACCUGAUUUGCAAUUUGCAGUUUGCAAUUUGCAGUUUGCAGACAUUGUUCCAAGUCGCACCACAGAAAAUGCUUGCCGGGGAAUAUUACUUUUGAAGAUCUGGAGGAUGAGGACAUCCUGCAAAGGGCUUGGGAAGGUCUUAUUCCAAACCGUAUUUUGAUUUAUUACUUAGAACAUGAGAUUGAUGAUGAAAUUAGAACUCCAAGUAGAAACCACAUAAAGUUCCCAGAUGAUGGACAAAAUAAGGAAAGACAAGCAUUAGAGCUA